UAGGGAAUAUUGGUAAUGGGCGAAAGCCUGAACCAGCAACGCCGCGUGUGCGAUGAAGGCCUUCGGGUUGUAAAGCACUUUUGACCGGGACGAGGAAGGACGGUACCGGUGGAAUAAGCCUCGGCUAACUACGUGCCAGCAGCCGCGGUAAAACGUAGGAGGCGAGCGUUAUCCGGAAUUACUGGGUUUAAAGGGUGCGUAGGCGGGGCUUUAAGCCGGCGGUGAAAUGCAGCGGCUCAACCGCUGGAAUGCCGUUGGGACUGGGGCUCUUGGAUACGGUCGGGGCGGGUGGAACUCGUGGUGUAGCGGUGAAAUGCAUAGAUAUCACGAGGAACGCCGGUAGCGAAGGCAGCUCGCCGGGCCGGUAUUGACGCUGAGGCACGAAAGCGUGGGGAUCGAACAG
rnacentral:rRNA from 1 species